rnacentral:rRNA from 1 species
AACGAACGCUGGCGGCAGGCUUAACACAUGCAAGUCGAACGAGAUCUUCGGAUCUAGUGGCAGACGGGUGAGGAACACGUGGGAACAUCCCUUUCAGUUCGGAAUAACGUUGGGAAACUAACGCUAAUACCGGAUACGUCCUUCGGGAGAAAGAUUUAUCGCUGAAAGAUUGGCCCGCGUCUGAUUAGCUAGUUGGUGAGGUAACGGCUCACCAAGGCUACGAUUAGUAGCUGAUCUGGGAGGAUGAUCAGCCACAUUGGGACUGAGACACGGCCCAAACUCCUACGGGAGGCAGCAGUGGGGAAUAUUGGACAAUGGGCGCAAGCCUGAUCCAGCCAUGCCGCGUGAGUGAUGACGGCCUUCGGGUUGUAAAGCUCUUUUGUCCGGGAAGAUAAUGACUGUACCGGAAGAAUAAGCCCCGGCAAACUUCGUGCCAGCCGCCGCCGUAAGAC